rnacentral:lncRNA from 1 species
GAGACCAUCAGAGCUGCCAUCCUCACCACACUAUCUACCACAGCAUUCCCUAAAGAGCCCAGUUUCCUACUUCCCACGAUCCCUGUGCUUGUGAGAAGGAGAGUCAGAAAGUGCAAGGGCUCCUCCAUCAGCUGCUCCAGCAUCUCACCUCACCUGUCUGGUUCUGAGUCCCAAAGGCUACUAGUGAGACAGAGUUGGGUACUGAGGGACCCACAGGCAGGAAACAACCAGGAAAGUUAUCAAAAAAUCAUGGUCCACUCUGGAAACAAACUGUCAUGCUCAAGGACGGACAAGACUCAAACUGCAAGUGACUGGAGAAGCCACGAUUCUGUUGCCUUCCAGAACCCAGACACCCAGCCCCAACUCAGUACUUCUCGAAUAUCGGAGUUUGAGAAAUUCUGCUUUCAGUUGGUCCAAGUGUUCUUCAUGGCCUCUGAGUGCCCCAGGAUCAAGGAGGACCAGAAAAAGUCCUGGCUCCCAAGAGGGUGUGGGAAUCAAGAUAAGAUUUAGGUGACUCCAUUAUGAGGUGACUGGUAGAGAAAGGAGCCACUCUAUCCUUCCCCUAGUUGCUCGUGAAAGAAAAAAGAAAAAACUCAGAGCUACACAUCCAUCCCUCAACAAAGGAAACAAACUCUCCUGCAAAAUACAGGGGACUGAUUUGGGCACUGGGGCCCUGUCCACCUCAGUGCUGCAAGAAACAAGAGGAGGGGAAAACCCUGAGCAUUAAACAACAAAUAUUUCGUGACGAGUACAUUCUCCUCAGCUACCAAGUCCAAAGCUACUUGAUAUA